rnacentral:rRNA from 1 species
UACGUAGGGUGCAAGCGUUGUCCGGAAUUAUUGGGCGUAAAGAGCUCGUAGGCGGUUUGUCGCGUCUGCUGUGAAAACUCAGGGCUUAACCCUGAGCCUGCAGUGGGUACGGGCAGACUAGAGUGUGGUAGGGGAGAUCGGAAUUCCUGGUGUAGCGGUGGAAUGCGCAGAUAUCAGGAGGAACACCGAUGGCGAAGGCAGGUCACUGGGCCGCAACUGACGCUGAGGAGCGAAAGCGUGGGGAGCAAACAGG